rnacentral:rRNA from 1 species
AUUGAACGCUGGCGGCAGGCCUAACACAUGCAAGUCGAGCGGAUGAAGGGAGCUUGCUCCUGGAUUCAGCGGCGGACGGGUGAGUAAUGCCUAGGAAUCUGCCUGGUAGUGGGGGAUAACGUCCGGAAACGGGCGCUAAUACCGCAUACGUCCUGAGGGAGAAAGUGGGGGAUCUUCGGACCUCACGCUAUCAGAUGAGCCUAGGUCGGAUUAGCUAGUUGGUGGGGUAAAGGCCUACCAAGGCGACGAUCCGUAACUGGUCUGAGAGGAUGAUCAGUCACACUGGAACUGAGACACGGUCCAGACUCCUACGGGAGGCAGCAGUGGGGAAUAUUGGACAAUGGGCGAAAGCCUGAUCCAGCCAUGCCGCGUGUGCGAAGAAGGUCUUCGGAUUGUAAAGCACUUUAAGUUGGGAGGAAGGGCAGUAAGUUAAUACCUUGCUGUUUUGACGUUACCAACAGAAUAAGCACCGGCUAACUUCG